AGGCGUAGUCGAUGGGAAACGGGUUAAUAUUCCCGUACUUCUUACAAUUGCGAUGGGGGGACGGAGAAGGCUAGGUGGGCCUGGCGACGGUUGUCCAGGUUCAAGUGCGUAGGCUGAAGAGUUAGGUAAAUCCGGCUCUUCUUAAGGCUGAGACACGACGUCGAGCUACUACGGUAGUGAAGUCAUUGAUGCCAUGCUUCCAGGAAAAGCCUCUAAGCUUCAGAUUGUAAGGAAUCGUACCCCAAACCGACACAGGUGGUCGGGUAGAGAAUACCAAGGCGCUUGAGAGAACUCGGGUGAAGGAACUAGGCAAAAUGGUACCGUAACUUCGGGAGAAGGUACGCUCUUGAUGGUGAAGUCCCUUGCGGAUGGAGCUGACGAGAGUCGCAGAUACCAGGUGGCUGCAACUGUUUAUUAAAAACACAGCACUGUGCAAAAUCGUAAGAUGACGUAUACGGUGUGACGCCUGCCCGGUGCCGGAAGGUUAAUUGAUGGGGUUAGACUUCGGUCGAAGCUCUUGAUCGAAGCCCCGGUAAACGGCGGCCGUAACUAUAACGGUCCUAAGGUAGCGAAAUUCCUUGUCGGGUAAGUUCCGACCUGCACGAAUGGCGUAAUGAUGGCCACGCUGUCUCCACCCGAGACUCAGUGAAAUUGAAAUCGCUGUGAAGAUGCAGUGUACCCGCGGCUAGACGGAAAGACCCCGUGAACCUUUACUACAGCUUGGCACUGAACAUUGACCCUACAUGUGUAGGAUAGGUGGGAGGCUUUGAAGCACAGUCGCUAGAUUGUGUGGAGCCGUCCUUGAAAUACCACCCUUGUAGUGUUGAUGUUCUAACGUCGACCCCUUAUCGGGGUUGCGGACAGUGCCUGGUGGGUAGUUUGACUGGGGCGGUCUCCUCCCAAAGAGUAACGGAGGAGCACGAAGGUGGGCUAAUCACGGUUGGACAUCGUGAGGUUAGUGCAAUGGCAUAAGCCCGCUUGACUGCGAGAAUGACAAUUCGAGCAGGUGCGAAAGCAGGUCAUAGUGAUCCGGUGGUUCUGUAUGGAAGGGCCAUCGCUCAACGGAUAAAAGGUACUCCGGGGAUAACAGGCUGAUACCGCCCAAGAGUUCAUAUCGACGGCGGUGUUUGGCACCUCGAUGUCGGCUCAUCACAUCCUGGGGCUGAAGUCGGUCCCAAGGGUAUGGCUGUUCGCCAUUUAAAGUGGUACGCGAGCUGGGUUUAGAACGUCGUGAGACAGUUCGGUCCCUAUCUGCCGUGGGCGUUGGAAGAUUGAAGGGGGCUGCUCCUAGUACGAGAGGACCGGAGUGGACGAACCUCUGGUGUUCGGGUUGUGUCGCCAGACGCAUUGCCCGGUAGCUAAGUUCGGAAUCGAUAACCGCUGAAAGCAUCUAAGCGGGAAGCGAGCCCUGAGAUGAGUCUUCCCUGAUACUUUAAGUAUCCUAAAGGGUUGUUCGA
rnacentral:rRNA from 1 species